UGAGUGCAGUUGAGGCAGGCGGAAUUCGUGGUGUAGCGGUGAAAUGCUUAGAUAUCACGAAGAACUCCGAUUGCGAAGGCAGCCUGCUAAGCUGCAACUGACAUUGAGGCUCGAAAGUGUGGGUAUCAAACAGGAUUAGAUACCCUGGUAGUCCACACGGUAAACGAUGAAUACUCGCUGUUUGCGAUAUACUGCAAGCGGCCAAGCGAAAGCGUUAAGUAUUCCACCUGGGGAGUACGCCGGCAACGGUGAAACUCAAAGGAAUUGACGGGGGCCCGCACAAGCGGAGGAACAUGUGGUUUAAUUCGAUGAUACGCGAGGAACCUUACCCGGGCUUAAAUUGCAGAUGAAUUACGGUGAAAGCCGUAAGCCGCAAGGCAUCUGUGAAGGUGCUGCAUGGUUGUCGUCAGCUCGUGCCGUGAGGUGUCGGCUUAAGUGCCAUAACGAGCGCAACCCUUGUUGUCAGUUACUAACAGGUUUUGCUGAGGACUCUGACAAGACUGCCAUCGUAAGGUGUGAGGAAGGUGGGGAUGACGUCAAAUCAGCACGGCCCUUACGUCCGGGGCUACACACGUGUUACAAUGGGGGGUACAGAGGGCCGCUACCACGCGAGUGGAUGCCAAUCCCCAAAACCUCUCUCAGUUCGGACUGGAGUCUGCAACCCGACUCCACGAAGCUGGAUUCGCUAGUAAUCGCGCAUCAGCCACGGCGCGGUGAAUACGUUCCCGGGCCUUGUACACACCGCCCGUCAAGCCAUGGGAGCCGGGGGUACCUGAAGUGCGUAACCGCGAGGAGCGCCCUAGGGUAAAACUGGUG
rnacentral:rRNA from 1 species